CAAGCACAUGGACAAAAGCGGUACAAGAUUUUCAAAGUUUUGCUGGCUUGAAUACUACAGGUGAUUUAGAUGAGGAAACACUACAAUUGAUGUCCUUACCACGUUGUGGUGUACGUGACAAAGUCGGCUUUGGCACUGAUAGUCGCUCCAAGCGUUAUGCAUUACAAGGCAGCCGUUGGCGUGUUAAGGCUUUGACUUACAAAAUCUCAAAAUACCCAAAACGUUUGAAACGCAACGAUGUUGAUGCAGAGAUUUCACGUGCCUUUAAUGUUUGGAGUGAAUUUACUGAUUUAUCUUUUACACAAAAAACAAGCGGACCAGUACAUAUUGAAAUUAAAUUUGUUGAGAGUGAACAUGGAGAUGGUGAUCCAUUUGAUGGUGUUGGUGGCACAUUGGCUCAUGCAUUCUUUCCCGUUUUUGGCGGUGAUGCACAUUUUGAUGAUGCUGAACUUUGGACAAUUGGUUCUCCAAGAGGCACAAAUCUAUUUCAAGUAGCAGCACAUGAAUUUGGCCAUUCAUUGGGUUUGUCGCAUUCAGAUGUACGUUCAGCAUUGAUGGCACCAUUUUAUCGUGGUUUUGAGCCAGUAUUUAAACUUGACUCCGAUGAUGUACUCGCUAUACAAGCACUGUAUGGACGUAAAACAGCUGGUCCUGGUAGUUUCCCAAGCACAACGCAAAGACCAUCAUUCGCACCACCAAAAAUACCUAGAGAUGAUCUCAUUUGCAAAGAUCCCAAAGUUGAUGCCUUGUUCAAUUCUGCAGAUGGUCAAACAUAUGCGUUUAAGGGUAAUAAAUAUUAUAAACUCACAGAAAACUCAGUUGCUGAAGGUUAUCCCAAAAAUAUUGCUGAUGGUUGGCCAGGUUUGCCAGGCGAUAUUGACGCAGCAUUCACAUACAAAAAUGGUAAAACAUAUUUCUUCAAGGGUACGAAAUACUGGCGUUAUAAUGGACGCACAAUAGAUGGUGAUUAUCCUAAAGAAAUUAGUGAUGGUUUCACAGGCAUACCUGAUCAUUUGGAUGCUGCGAUGGUUUGGGGCGGCAAUGGUAAAAUCUACUUCUUCAAAGGCAGCAAAUUCUGGCGUUUUGAUCCACUUAAAAAGCCACCAGUUAAAUCAAGUUAUCCCAAACCCAUUUCAAAUUGGGAAGGCUUGCCAAAUAAUUUAGACUCCGCUUUACAAUACACAAAUGGUUACACAUACUUCUUCAAAGGUGAUAAAUACUAUAGGUUUAACGACAGAACAUUUGCGGUUGAUACUGCUGAUCCACCAUUCCCACGCCCAUCAGGACAUUGGUGGUUCGGUUGCAAAAAUGUACCAACGACAACAGUCCCAAAUAUAGGCGGAAGAAAUUAUCCGGGCUGGAUGUGGAAUAUCGCGAAUUCGUUCUUUUAAAAAUUUUUAUUUAAUAUUUAAAUAUAAAUUUAUAAAAAUUCCUAUAGCAUAAAGUUCGUUAGAAUUUAACAAAAAAAUUAUUAUACAAACGUGCCGCUCUCAAAUCUUUACAUAAAUAUAUUAAAUAAGUUCAUUGUGUCGGUACGAAACCAGCCGUAAUCGUAUAGCCCCUAAAAAGAAUAUUGCGUGCAGCUGCUGCCUCAUGCGUGCAACACCCACCGUUAAAGGUAAACUCUCCCAGCGAGUCCAGUAUCUCUCUGGUGUGUUCUGUGCUUUAAAAUUUGUCCAAUCGUCCAAUGCUUUGUUUCGUGCUGUCGUUUAUAUAUGAAUUGUGUGUGUUGCAAGCUGACAUAAAUACCAAUGCCAACCCAACAUAAGUACCAAAAAGCCAAAGUCUGUCAUGAAUCUGCCAAAAAAACAGCGCCAAUUGCAAACCAAAAAAGUGCUGGCGAUCAUCAAUCCAAUGAGCCCUCCGAAUUCGACAAGUCAGGUCAGAGCAAAUCUGGUGCCCCAACACUACUCAAUAAC